GUGAAUCAUCGAAUCUUUGAACGCAAAUUGCGCCUUUCACGGAAGGCAUGUCUGUUCGAGGGCACCAUUUGACAAAUCACGUGCAUUUCGUGUGCACACGUUGAUGAGCUUUACAAAAUUACGCCUUAUCAUUUUUGGUGGCGCAUAAUUAAACAGCGCGAUGCUUUUUUUCAGCUCGAGUGUAGUAAGAUUUUUUCUUGCUUGGGUUGUGAAAAGCGUGAUAGUGCAAAUGGGUGUGGCGAUUCUACUAACCCUGCCACAACGCCACUUCUUCUCGCGAAAGAGUAUUAAUCUUCAGGGG
rnacentral:misc_RNA from 1 species